rnacentral:lncRNA from 13 species
AUGCUUCAGUCAGGGAAUUGGGCAGUACGUGCCGAGGACGCAGCCGCCACGACGGCCCUUGCCGCCCUCCCCAGUGCGCCUGCGCGCCUGAACGCCCGCGUCUCUGCAGGUCGGCGCCAGCCCUGGCUUGAAGCUCCGGGCGAAGCGGCUCCAAACCACCCGCUCAGCGCACCGCACGCGCAGUCCUUGCCCGCAUGCUGUUCCUGGACUCUGCUGAAAUUCCAGCCAGUUCCGCAGCCCGAAACAUGGAGCACCGAAUCAACAAUUUUAAACCGACUUCUCGGAUUUUUGCUCUUCUCACCUGACAGUGCAUUAGGGAGCCUUCUUUAUCAGUGAGUGAAAUUCUAACAUUCUUUUUUUGUGAUUGUGUAUAUAAUAUUUCAUGAUGUGUAUAAACCUCAACUAUUUCCCCACUAAAGAAAGGGUGUUUCCAUUGUUUCUGAUUGUUUUAACGCUAUGAAUAAUGCUGCAUUAAGAACUCUUAUAUAAAAAUAUUUAAAACAUGAGACUUAAUUUCCAUGUCAUAGAUCCCCAGAAGUGAAGAUGUUAAGUCAAAGAUGUAUCUUCUGGCCGGGUGCAGUGACUCACACCUGUAAUGCCAACACUUUGGGAGGCCGGGCCGGGCAGAUCACCUGAAGUCAAGAGUUUGAGACCAGCCUGACUAACAUGGUGAAAGCCUGUGUGUACUAAAAAUACAAAAAUUAGCCAGGCACAGUGGCGGGCGUCUAUAAUCCCAGCUACUCAGAAGCUGAGGCAGGAGAAUCACUUGAACCCGGGAGGCAGGGGUUGCAGUGAGCCAAGAUUGUGCCAUUGCACUCCAGCCUGGGUGACAGAGCGAGAUUCUGUCUCAAAAAAGAAAAAAAUGUAUGUUCUGUAAACUGUAAUAGACAGUGAAUGCCUUUUCAGUCUUCAAUAAAAGUAGAUGAUGCAUUUCUAUUUAAUGUUGG